AGUGAACGCUGGCGGCAGGCCUAACACAUGCAAGUCGAACGGCAGCACAGGAGAGCUUGCUCUCUGGGUGGCGAGUGGCGGACGGGUGAGGAAUAUAUCGGAAUCUACCCUUUCGUGGGGGAUAACGUAGGGAAACUUACGCUAAUACCGCAUACGAACUGAGGUUGAAAGCGGCGGACCGCAUGGCGUCGCGCGGAGGGAGGAGCCGAUAUCCGAUUAGCUAGUUGGCGGGGUAAAGGCCCACCAAGGCGACGAUCGGUAGCUGGUCUGAGAGGAUGAUCAGCCACACUGGAACUGAGACACGGUCCAGACUCCUACGGGAGGCAGCAGUGGGGAAUAUUGGACAUGGGCGCAAGCCUGAUCCAGCCAUGCCGCGUGUGUGAAGAAGGCCUUCGGGUUGUAAAGCACUUUUGUUGGGAAAAAAAAGCGGUCGGUUAAUACCCGGUCGUUCUGACGGUACCCAAAGAAUAAGCACCGGCUAAACUCGUGCCAGCCGCCGCCGUAA
rnacentral:rRNA from 1 species